CUGACAGAGAGAGAGAGAUAGAGACGAGCAGAGGAACGUCGUGAGAGCUCAUAUACCACCGUAGCAUCGAGAAAGAAAGAGCGAGAGAGAAAGAGAGAGAAAGAGGGAGAAAGAUAGAGAGAGAGAGUAAUACACGACAGCGGUGAGCUGGUGACCAUGCAAGGCAUUCUAUAUCUACUGGCCGCAGUGGCCGCGGUCAGUGCUACGGAUCUGCUGUCGUCAUCGUCGUACAGGGGUUCGAGGUCCGGGUCCGACGCCUACACCUACCAGCAGAGGUCCCCUCGCACGAGCUAUGGUUAUGACUACAACAGCGCUCCUGUUUACAGG